AUGAUGUUAGUAUAAUAUAGUACAGAUUCCUUCCAAGAAUAAAGUUUUAUUAACAUCAUA
rnacentral:tRNA from 1 species